rnacentral:lncRNA from 1 species
GAUGCUGGAUCUAUGAAAAAUAUUCUCAUCAAUAUAUUAAUUGAUUGGGAUUUAUUUGAGAUUUUAAUUCAAUUAGGUUAUAUUUUAUGCAUUUUUAAUUGAUUAAAAAUAGUUUAUGGUUUCUAAAAAUGCUGUAAUUUUUUGUCAAACUUUGUUUGGCCUUGUUGAACUUAGGAUGAUCCAUUUGGACUUUUCAAAGUUGAUUUGAAAUAGAUUUGAAGUUUGACCUU